AACGGGUGCGUAACGCGUAAGGAACCUGCCCUUCACUGGGGGAUAGCUUUGCGAAAGCGAAGGUAAACCCGCAUGGUUCUGUGAGAUCGCAUGGUUUUACAGAUAAAUAUUUAUAGGUGAAGGAGGGUCUUGCGUCGGAUUAGUUAGUUGGCAGGGUAACGGCCUACCAAGACGAUGAUCCGUAGGGGCUCUGAGAGGAGCGGCCCCCACAUGGACACUGAGACACGGGUCCAACUCCUACGGGAGGCAGCAGUAGGGAAUAUUGGGCAAUGGCCGGAAGGCUGACCCAGCCAUGCCGCGUGGAGGAAGACGGCCCUCUGGGUUGUAAACUCCUUUUAUCGGGGAAGAACAGCACUCUUGCGAGGGUGUGUGACGGUACUCGAGGAAUAAGCACCGGCUAACUCCGUGCCAGCAGCCGCGGUAAUACGGAGGGUGCAAGCGUUGUCCGGAUUUAUUGGGUUUAAAGGGUGCGUAGGUGGUCUGAUAAGUCUGGUUUGAAAGUUGGUCGCUUAACGAUCAAGGGUGGCUGGAUACUGUUGGACUUGAAUGGGGUGGCGGUAGCCGGAAUGGGUUGUGUAGCGGUGAAAUGCAUAGAGAUGACCCGGAACACCGAUUGCGAAGGCAGGCUACUACGCCUUAAUUGACACUGAGGCACGAGAGCAUGGGGAGCAAACAGGAUUAGAUACCCUGGUAGUCCAUGCCGUAAACGAUGAUUACUGGCUGU
rnacentral:rRNA from 1 species